UUCGUUACGACAUUGCUCACAUUGCUUCCAGUAUUAUUUGCCCGCUUCGUGCGGGCUUUUUUUU
rnacentral:antisense_RNA from 1 species